GAUGUCCGAAUGACUCAGCAGCAGACGCAGCGUCGACUCAGGCAUAGCAUUUCUCCGACGCCAAACGAAAACGAAACGCCGCGAAAGCUAGUCUGGCUCUGUCACGCCAAUACGCAAGAGCGAUAGAGUAACAAUUGAAGAACGUCUUGGUAAGAUAUGAGAUAGGUUCCCACUUCUUUUAUUUUCUUCCAUACUUUCAUGAAUAAAAUGAACUGUAUCAAUAGAAAA